rnacentral:rRNA from 1 species
AACGAACGCUGGCGGCAUGCCUAACACAUGCAAGUCGAACGAGACCUUCGGGUCUAGUGGCGCACGGGUGCGUAACGCGUGGGAACCUGCCUUUAGGUUCGGAAUAACUCAGAGAAAUUUGAGCUAAUACCGGAUAAUGUCUUCGGACCAAAGAUUUAUCGCCUUUAGAUGGGCCCGCGUUGGAUUAGCUAGUUGGUGGGUAAAGGCCUACCAAGGCGACGAUCCAUAGCUGGUCUGAGAGGAUGAUCAGCCACACUGGGACUGAGACACGGCCCAGACUCCUACGGGAGGCAGCAGUGGGGAAUAUUGGACAAUGGGCGAAAGCCUGAUCCAGCAAUGCCGCGUGAGUGAUGAAGGCCUUAGGGUUGUAAAGGACUCUUUUACCCGUAGAUGAUAAUGACAGU